rnacentral:lncRNA from 1 species
CUGAACCUGGGCCAGGGGUCCUCUUUGCCUGAGGCCUGGAGCCUACCGCCUACCUCCCAAAAGGGCAAAUUGGAGGCUGAUCCCUUCACCUGCAACACCUGGGCUCGCUUGCCCUCCAGGGGGAGGUACCGGCAGAAGGAAAGGUCAGGAUAUUUCUUCCUGCUUCGCGUGGCCGGGCAAUUCUGACAGAUGCUGUGGUCCUUCAAGGCUACAGCUCCUGCAGGCGGUCCCUCCUGCGCCUCCAGCUCACGAUGGAUUCCAGGAACACCAUUUCUUCCCAGGGCCCCUGUCCCUGGGGGUCUC